AACUACCGAUAUUUCAUUUCAAAAGCAAUAAAAAUUUUACAACACAAGCGUUUCGGUAAUCAUGAUCAGUGUAAACAUUUAUUGACUGGUUUACCAAUAUCGAUUUGUUUUACCCAUCCACAGUCUGUCUAUUUCACUAAAAAUGUAACACAGUCUAAUUACCUUGACCUUGGUAUCGGCAAAUUUGUUUGUAUAUUGUCAGUUUUUCACAGCUUGACUUCGGGGUUUAUAAUUGCUGAUAACAGUAAUUAGGCACAUGCGAGGGAGACUAAAAUCUGGGAUCAGAAUAUACCAUGGAAGCAAUGCAUUGGGUAUGGGUCUGACAACCUUAGUGUCAUGAUUGGCCGUCACAACUCUGUCUGAGAAGCAACCUGAUGUGCCUGAUAUGGGCUGUGUAUGCCAUUUAGCCAACACUUGUGUACAGUGAAGUCAAAAAACAUGUAUGACAUAUAAAGACAGUUCUAAUUGUGUAAAGUGUGUAAGUGAAAGUUGAGUAAAUUACAUAAACAUCAAAGCACAAGUGCAGUGGGAAAAAAAACAUGUAUGUUUUAUAAAGAAAGUUUUUUAAUGAUAAAAUUGGGUUGUUAAUUAGUUAUCAUGCAAAAUAAAAUGUUUUUAAAGAA